CUCUUUGCAAAUUGCAGGUAACUGAUAGAUAUGCAAACUUUAUAGAUAAGCUUUCUCUCUCAUUGUGGAAACUUCAGUUUGGCAUUUACCUUGCAUAGAUUGUUAACCUUGCACUGACUGUCAACCUUUACCAGAUUUUCAAUUACUCCCAUUUCCUUCAGCAUCUGGCUACAAACUAACAGCCUUGAAAAGAAUGAUUCCAUUUUUAUUUCUACCUCUAGACUUGUAGUCACCGGGAACUAAAAUCUGCCUAGAUUCUUAUUGACGUUCUAGGUUGCCCUGUUGCUGGUCUUUACCCCCUAGGAUUUGAAGAAUCACUGCAAGUUCAAGUCUGAGGAUUUGUUAUAAGCCUAGAAGAACUUAUUAUCAUUCCAGCUAACCAUUCAUGUUCCAACUAUCUCUAUGGAUAAGCCACUCUUUGGACUACUCAGAAAGUUUGGUAAAAUGCUCAGGUCAUGCACGCCUUUGUUGGAUAAGUUGCCAAUGCUGUGGAUGACAUUACCAAUAUGAUCAACAUCUUCAAAAACUCAGUGAAUGGCGGGAGAUUGAAUAUACAAACAGAAAAUUGCCAAGCCAUAUAUAAAAAUGCAACUUUGACCUCAACUUCUGUAACAACCAGCCUGAAGCCCAACCACAACCUCUUCAACAUCAGUAAGGACCUAGUAAAUAAUUGCCAGAUUCCAUAAUUUUUGCUUGUAUGUCUAACUUAGAACCAAUUACGGGAAGCCAAAUACGUACUCCUAACACAUCACAUAGUAUGAUCCACUUCUAAUUAGCCUGUUUCUACUUUCCCCAUGCCAACAACCUCCACUUAGGCAUACCUAAUGCCUUCCUUUUUUCUACUGUACAUCUGUCACAUCACUCUACUUGCAUUUGAGUCUCUGCCAAACAUAAUUGGUGAUUGGUGACUCUUUUGUUUAGCAAGCUCUGAAUAAAUAACAUUUGUUUGUUCUCAUUUGAGUGAUUUUUAUUUAUUUCCACAGUUUUCUUGGAAAUUCCAUCAAGAAGGUCUGCUCUGCCUAUCACCACAGACUCUAGCCUUCAGCUGGGGCAAAACCCCCUGUGCCUUACUAUUUGCCACUUGUCAAGUCCACAAUGAUGUUGGCAAGUCAGCACCAGGUCUGAACUCUACUCUCUUUGUGGCAGGGGAACUCUUUCUAGAAGACUUUGCUUUAUUCUCAUAAGCUGACCCCGAAAAUCAAGUAUCUGGCUCCUGUUACCCCUGUGUUGGAGGAGAGCAUUCUUGGGAAUAGAUGUCAAGUGAACCAACCUAUGAGAUUUGCCUCUACUAGGAAGACAACUACUUCAUGUAAUUUUCAGUAUGCAGAGGAUUUGAGGAAAAAAUUAAAACAACACCAACAGUUCAGUUUCUUACUAGAGUCUGCCGAAUUAGAAUUGGAUGCAACUGUGGCCCACAGGAUAUAUGCAAUUUCAUGCUAACUAUUUGCUGGAGAGGAAGGAGG